CGGUUUUUGUUUACAAUCUUGAUCCUCAUUGAGUUGCUAUAAGGAAGAUGAUACUUUAACUUGAUUACAUUAAACUUAUCCUAAUUAUGGAAUCAAUUCAUUGUCGACUGUUAAAUUUUGCUAAUUGUUCUGUCUGAUCACUCAACCUUUAAUUAUGUUCAGCUGUUUGUGUCUUUAAAUGUUUUAUUAUUGUACAAAUUUGUUACGUUGUUUAGUCAAAGUCAAUACUGGAAACACUUCACCAAUCGUUAACCAGUCAUCUAAUACAAUGAUAAUGUGAUAUGAUUAAGUUUAUUUAUGUGACAUUGAGAGAUUUAUGUCAAUCGGAUUAUUGUCAUCUUUAACUCAAUUUAAUUUAUAUCAUCUUUUAAUUGGGUGAUCAUUACAAUGGUAAAGCCAUCAGUUAUUCAAGUCGAGUUCAAAUUCAAAUUUAAUCUGAAGACGGACAGGACCAGAUGAAUGAGUACAACGUUGCUGGUCUGCGCCUGAAUUGAGAUCAUAUCUUUCCUUCAGUUGAAGUAAUGAUUAUGAUCGUGAUUACAAUGCAUAAACUGUUUACACGAAACUAAUAGUUUUUUUGAUUAACCAUAAUGCUAUUCAUUUCUGUGAACAUUGAUUAGCUUUAUUUGAAAA